UUUCCGUAGGUGAACCUGCGGAAGGAUCAUUACCGAGUGAGGGUCUCCCAGGCCCGGCCUCCCACCCUGUGUUUUUGUCACCUUGUUCCUUUGGCAGGUCCGCCUCGAUGAGACGCGGCCGGAAGCUCACCGGUUUGGGCCCGUUCCCGCCAGUAGCCCCCUUAAAUUCUUAAUAAGCCUGUCGUCUGAGUCUGGAUAUAAUAAAAAAAACUUUCAACAACGGAUCUCUUGGUUCUG
rnacentral:misc_RNA from 1 species